rnacentral:tRNA from 1 species
GCCUGGGUGGCUCAGUGGGUUAAGCAUCUGACUUUAGCUCAGGUCAUGAUCUCGUGGUCUGUGGGUUUGAACCCCACGUUGGGCU